rnacentral:tRNA from 1 species
GCGUCCAUUGUCUAAUGGAUAGGACAUAGGUCUUCUAAACCGUUGGUAUAGGUUCAAAUCCUAUUGGACGCA